rnacentral:rRNA from 1 species
GGCGCAGCGCGGCUAUCUGCAGUCGAGCGGACAGAAGGGAGCUUGCUCCCGGAUGUUAGCGGCGGACGGGUGAGUAACACGUGGGUAACCUGCCUGUAAGACUGGGAUAACUCCGGGAAACCGGAGCUAAUACCGGAUAGUUCCUUGAACCGCAUGGUUCAAGGAUGAAAGACGGUUUCGGCUGUCACUUACAGAUGGACCCGCGGCGCAUUAGCUAGUUGGUGAGGUAAUGGCUCACCAAGGCGACGAUGCGUAGCCGACCUGAGAGGGUGAUCGGCCACACUGGGACUGAGACACGGCCCAGACUCCUACGGGAGGCAGCAGUAGGGAAUCUUCCGCAAUGGACGAAAGUCUGACGGAGCAACGCCGCGUGAGUGAUGAAGGUUUUCGGAUCGUAAAGCUCUGUUGUUAGGGAAGAACAAGUGCGAGAGUAACUGCUCGCACCUUGACGGUACCUAACCAGAAAGCCACGGCUAACUACGUGCCAGCAGCCGCGGUAAUACGUAGGUGGCAAGCGUUGUCCGGAAUUAUUGGGCGUAAAGGGCUCGCAGGCGGUUUCUUAAGUCUGAUGUGAAAGCCCCCGGCUCAACCGGGGAGGGUCAUUGGAAACUGGGAAACUUGAGUGCAGAAGAGGAGAGUGGAAUUCCACGUGUAGCGGUGAAAUGCGUAGAGAUGUGGAGGAACACCAGUGGCGAAGGCGACUCUCUGGUCUGUAACUGACGCUGAGGAGCGAAAGCGUGGGGAGCGAACAGGAUUAGAUACCCUGGUAGUCCACGCCGUAAACGAUGAGUGCUAAGUGUUAGGGGGUUUCCGCCCCUUAGUGCUGCAGCUAACGCAUU